GCCUCUGCAACGCAAUGCUGCAAGGCAAAUGCAGCGUUCCAUUGGAAAUGAAUGUACUUCUGGUACCAAAAAGCAAAAACACUGUGUGUUCGAAGCAUUAGUGAAUGUUUGUGUACUAUUUCGUUUCAGGAUCCGCUGCUGUAAGGACAGCUCUGUUUCAUCCUGGCUAAUGUCUUUUAUGAAUGGAGGAGGCAGGAGAAAGACAAGCAGCCCUUCAUCUAUUUCCUCCAGACUCAAGGACCCGCUCACGUGAAAACAGGACCAGGAUGAGAGGACACCCUGUAAGGAGGAUAGACAGACAUGCAUGUCUGAAGAAGGCUCUGUAGACCUGCAAGAGGAGGACAAAGGAGUCAGUGAGUGGAGAGGAUGGCGGUUGCUGACAAUUGCAGGACUGUUUGACUGCUGGACUCCCCCUAGUGGUGGAGAUCCCCUCUAGACCUACACCGUGAUCACUCUGGGUGCAUCCCAUAAUCUUCAAGGCAUCCAUGACCGGAUGCCAGCGAUUCAACUGAGAGGUCAGAAGGUGGCUGGAUUUUGGUGAGGUGAAGUCAUUAGAUGCCCUUAAACUGCUUCAGUCCAAAAACACACUGACCUUUCACAGUCUCCUCAUUGGUCAACAACUCUCGAAACAAUUCCCCCGAGUGCCUGCUGCCAGUGGAUCCUCAGGUUAAGAAGGCGCCCAAGCCCUCAGCAGGCAGUAAGAUGAAGAUGGGCUGGCUGAAGAGCAGCACGCCCUCCAAGAGGAAAGCGCUAGACACUGGGGAAGUCGAACAGGAGGGGCACACAGGAGAGACCAGGCCUGAGAAGCAGCCGAAGACUGCAGGGAGCCAGUAAGAAACCCAGGACCAACUGAGUGGUUGGGACAAACAUUGACUGACUUUGAAAAGAGAUGGGAACAGACUGAAGAAUGAAUGCCUUAUUGUCUUGAUAUUGCCGUGUGUGAUUGAGGUGGAAGAGCGCAAAUGGUUAGAUUAUUUUUAUGUCUGUCUGGUGUUGGUUGAAGAUAAUGUAAUUAAAUAUUUGACAGAUUUCGAUGGUCCUGUGAAGUGUCAACUUUCACAAGUGACCAAUUUUUAUAUAAGUAGUAGACUGAAUACAAAUACCAAGUGAGUGCCCCCAUGCAAAACUACACAUUUCAAUGUAUUCAAGAGUAUACUAUAGAUUAUAGUAAACUCGGUCUUUCAACAGCUGUGUGUAUGAGAGCCAUGAUAGUAACCUACUGUGCUUUAGUUACCUGUUCUACUUGCAUUAACACACGUACACAGAUUCUUCAUUCAAUAACCAUUAUUAUUACCUGAAACCCAAAGACAUUUUCAAACAAUGUAGAUGAAGUGCAUUUAUCAUUUAAUUAAAAACUUAAUGAUUACUGCUAACACAUUUCCCCCAUAUUUUGUUUAAGUGUUCUCUUGUCCUCUAUGAUGCAAUUCAAAUUCUAAACAUAUGCGAACAGACUAAAAUAUCUGAUCGGUUUUUAAAAAAUAAAGCGCUUAACAAAUAAUUUGCCAACCUGAGAUAUCGGCAGAGCGAGAUAUGGAAACUAACAGACAUGUUUUUUGCCUUAAACGAUUGACAGACAAAGGUUUGCAAUAGUUGACAGUGUAAAAAGACAGAGGUACUAGCUAAUAAUAGUACAGAGAUAUUUAUACUCUGAAAACCUAUCCCCUCCCCGACUGUAUCAGAUAGGACAUCCUCCCUUGGUUUGAUUCUCUACCCCCUGUGUCAGGUCUCAAUGUUGACAAAAUAAUCAUUUGCUGCUUGACUUUCCCCCAUUGAGAAACAAUGUGUAGGGCAGUUGGGGAACAGUUAAAAUCCACAUUGCCUCUUCAGCCUUGAGCUAAAAAAAAAACAAUAUUUUUAUUAUGGCUCCAAAAUGAGGUGUCAAACAGGGAUUGAAUAAGUCUACAUGACAACAAAGUGCAAAAAAAUGCCUUGAACAACACUUGUAUGUUGGACUUGCUAGUUCACUUCCAAGCCAAUUAACACAUGUAUCUUCAGGCAGUACAUUGGUAUAACCCCCAUAUACACGUUGAUAUACAUUUCUCAAUCUGAUCCUACACAACCUCCUUUACCACUGGAACUUUGGGAGUGAACUAUAUCUAACCCCCCUUAUGUCACAGGAGUUUAUUUCUGUAUGUAUGCGUAUGUGUGUUGGGUGGUGCCAUGGAAACAAUGGUGUCUAAAAAGGUGUUUGAGCCACGAGACAGGUUAAGGGGGAAAAAAUAUGCAGAUAUUAUGUUAAUAAAUGCUCUAAUAUCCACCUGGGUGUUCUUUGGGCUUGGAGACUCAUCUUGAGAGUAAAUGUGUGAUGUGUACACAGGGAUGAGUACAGUGUGUGUGUGUGUAAAGUAUACUUUACGAGCGGAACUCUGCUUGCAUCUACGAAGGCCAGUGAUAAUAUUGGGCAGAGGAGAGCACACGGGGGGGGGGGGGGAUAAAGGG